GGCCGCCGCGGUCUAGCGGGAGGGUGGCGGACUGUGGUCCGCGGCCCCGGGUUCGAAUCCCGGCGGCCU
rnacentral:tRNA from 1 species